rnacentral:tRNA from 1 species
GGGGCUAUGGCUCAAUGGUAGAGCAUCUCCCUGGUUUGCAGAAGGUCCCAAAUUCAAUCCCCAGUGUCUCCA